rnacentral:rRNA from 1 species
CCUACGGGAGGCAGCAGUGAGGAAUAUUGGUCAAUGGUCGGGAGACUGAACCAGCCAAGCCGCGUGAGGGAUGAAGGUACAGAGUAUCGUAAACCUCUUUUGUCAGGGAACAAAGGCGGGGACGUGUCCCCGGAUGAGUGUACCUGAAGAAAAAGCAUCGGCUAACUCCGUGCCAGCAGCCGCGGUAAUACGGAGGAUGCGAGCGUUAUCCGGAUUUAUUGGGUUUAAAGGGUGCGCAGGCGGUCUGUUAAGUCAGCGGUCAAAGCCCGGGGCUCACCCCCGGCCCGCCGUUGAAACUGGCAGUCUGGAGUUGUAGAGAAGUAUGCGGAAUGCGCGGUGUAGCGGUGAAAUGCAUAGAUAUCGCGCAGAACUCCGAUUGCGAAGGCAGCAUGCCGGCUCCACACUGACGCUGAGGCACGAAAGCGUGGGUAUCGAACAGGAUUAGAUACCCUUGUAGUC